AUGAUCAGAGUUCACUGUAACCUUGAGCUCCUGUGCUCAAGCCAUAUUUCCACUUCAGCCUCCCAAGUAGCUGGAACUACAGGAACAACACAUGUUUCCAUGGAACAACCUGGCUAUUCCUCCUGUAGAAUGGAUUCUGGGAAGUAUACAUGGAGAAGGACCCAUCUGGUGCCCACUAGGCUGAAUGAUCACCCAGUGUAUGAAAAAGCACUAGGCGAGGAGUGGUGGCUCAUGCUUGUAAUCCCAGUACUUUGGGAGGCCAAGGUAGGCAGAUUGCUUGAGGCCAGGAGUUUGAGACCAGCAUGAGCAACAUGAUGAAACCCCCAUCUCUUCCAAAAAUAUGAAAAAUAGCUGGGCGUGGUGGUUUGCAUGGGAGGCUGAGGCAAGAGAAUCGCUGGAACCUAGGAGGCAGAGAUUGCAGUGAGCUGAGAGUGUGCCACUGCAGUCCAGCCUUGGUGACAGAGCAUGACUCUAUCUGAAGAAAGAAAGGAAAAAGGAAGAAAGAAAAGAAAAAAAGAAAGAAAGAGAAAGAAGAAAGAAAAAGAAAGAAAGAAGAAAGAAAGAAAGAAAAAGAAAGAAAGAAGAAAGAAAAAGAGCACUGAUGAGUUGUCAGGAGGGUUGAUUUCUUGGUAGCUCUGCCACUCAGUAACUCUGUUAUCUUGAGCAAGUCAUUUUACCCAAGACAAAAUGAUUUGUGUGUGUGAUGGCACACACAGAGCCCUUUAGCAUAUUUCUUGGAGAACCAUCUGAAACAAGUUGUUCCUCCCUUUCUAGAACUCAGAUCUGCUUCUCACCAUACUCAUGUUUCUACAGAAGUCCUGUGGGUUAGAAGUCCUCAGUUUCCAGGCAAAUCUUUUGGACUAGAGGACAUAAAGUUAUUUUCUUGAUCUAUGUCAUGAUUCUUGAAAAAAAUGUCAGCUGGGCAGCUGGCAAUAAGACAGAUGGGGCCUCAUCAGUAGCACUGUUGUCAAUGUCCUCACUGGGUCAGAAUAGUCAGAGGUGGGCAACUUGGACCAGGCUCCUGAAACACCUACCUUUCCCUGGCCUCUGGCCUGCCUCCUUUCUGGUCUGAGGUUGAUAAAUAGUUUUCUUCUCAGGAGACAGUAGUGGAUUCUAGUACCACUUUUUUUUUUUUUUUUUUUAAUAUUUCUUGGAGUGAAAUCUUCAAGCAAAAGGUUAAGUAACCCCCUUCAUCCAUAGCUCAUUGCUCUUGGAAAUGCUGGUGACCCAUCUCACCCCACCCUUCCCGUGGGCUAGAAACUAGGCUGCUUGGGCAACAGUAUCACCAGAUGAUUCACAGGGAUUUGAACCUGAAGGGACCUUACCAGGCAUCUCCUUUAUUGCGCAGAUGAGAUAAGAAGCCCCAAGAGGGAAAAUGACUCACCUCAAGGAUACCCAGCCAGUUAGUGAAGCUGUUGACACCCCAUUUUCAAAUUUAUAUUGUGAGCAUAAUAAUAAAAUCUACCCCACGGGAUUAUUGUGAAGGUGU
rnacentral:lncRNA from 13 species